AUUUAUAAAGCACCUACUGUGUGCCCAGCACUGUACUAAGUGCUUGGGAAACAGACAAAAGUUCUGCAGUCUUUACCCUCCAAGGGCUUGCUUUCUAAUGAAAUGAACUGGAGAAGAGAAACAAGCCUGGAUGCACAGUGGCUGAUCCAUUCCUGGCCAGAGGACGCUGGGCUGAAGAAGUCUGCCAUUCUUACCUCUGAUUGUCUCCCCCAUCAUUUCAAUAAUUUAAUAUCACUUCUGGCCACCAGUUCUCCGUACUCUGCUUUCAACGGCUUAUUGGAAAUUCUUUUCAACUCCAAGUGAAAAGCUCCGCUCAUGCCCAGAAGUCUGCCAAUGGUCUCUUUCCCUCUUGGCUUUUUAAUUUUGUUUUCUGAGGCUGCUUUCUCUCUCAGGUUGGCCUCUCCUGCUUGCUACCCUGCAGAAGCCAGAAUUCAACACUGCUACCUGUUGCCAUGGAAAUAGAUAACACAAAGAGAAAAGAAUUAUUUCGUCUGGUAUGAAAGGACUGGAUCUUUCCAGAAAAAUCUAGAUCAGUGAAAAGCAGCCCGGGUUCCGUGAAACAUUUCUCUUUUUUUACUUGCUGAAUGUAUUUAUUUUUUUUAAAGAUGCCUCUUUUUAGGGAGAAGCUCAGGAUCAUCACUAACCCCAAGGGCCUGUUUUCCUGCUGCUCCUCAGUUCUAGGCCUAGUUUAUUGUCUGUCUAACAUGCAAGACCUAUCAGUUAAAAGUGAGCUUCUGGGGCUGUCCAUCCAACUACACAGCAUGGUCUGGAUAAUCAGCACUGGUCAUCCACUUGGUUUUUCCUGUGUGGAUGGGUCAACAUCUCUGGAAUGAUUGUAUGUGUCAUUUAGGUAUCUCAGAAGUGUUCCAAAGCUUGGCCCGAGCUGUGCAAUGUUGCCUUUAAACAGAACCAUUGGUAGCACCCAACCAUCUCCAGGUCUUCGGCUUAGACUCUGUGCUGUGUCUUCCCCAGUGAGCCGCUCUGGAUGUCCAUUUUAGGCCUCCCUCUGAACUACCAAGUUUUCACAUGUGCCCUAUUGAAAAGACUACAAAGAGGGGGGAUUAACCCAAUUCUUUUUCUUUUUGGACUCCAGAAAGCUUCUUUCACUGAUGCAGAAUGGCAGCCUGUCUGCCACUCAGACUCCCAGAGAGGGCACCCCAAGGCAAUCCAAGGCCAGGGUGGGCCCCGGGGUGUGCCCAGGAUGUGCCUAGAGCCCAGGUCCUCAUCGAAGGCCGGAUCUCCAGCCACCUGCCUCUCAGCUCACAGACUCUUCCUAACAACAGGCUGAUUUCCCCCUCCCUUGUGUGAUAUACAAGUUUACCAGCAAUAGCUGAUGUCUCCUAUUGGCCCUAAGAAGGCCUGCAUUAG
rnacentral:lncRNA from 1 species